AUGCGUCUGGGCGGACAAAAACGGACGUGCCCCUCGCGUCCUCUCGUCCGCUCAUGUCCGCCAUUGGCCCACAGGUCAGUGACCCACACCAAGCCACUCGGGACCUCGUUGCUCUUGUUGCUGCCUCGCCGGCCGCCGCCCGUCCGUCACCGCCGCGUCCGCAACUACGUGCCCCGCGCCCGCCGCCGCGUCCGCCGCCGUGAGCAGCAGAAGCUGGAUGCUAGUGCUUGGGCAGCAGCAGCAGCAGCUGGGUGGACGCAACCAGGACGGGCGAGGGCGUGGCUCUGGGUGCUGGCGAGGCGGGUCGGGGCGGCAUGGCCAGGGCACGUGCGGCGGGCUGCUGCACGGGCGUGGCGCCACAGCGGCGAGGCGGGGUGGGGCGGCUGCGACGGAGGAGUUGAGGACGGGGCGGGACGACGGCGAGGCGGAUUAGCUCGGGGCGGGGACACGCACGGCGAGACGCGGACGCGCACGUCCUCCGCGCUCCCCUUGACGCGCCCCGCGCUGGAGGCCGGCGGGACGGCAGCCCUUGCAGGACCCGCAGCUGGAGGGCGUAGCUCGGGACGGCGGCGAGGCGGACGAGCUCGAGGCGGGGACGCGGGCGCACACGUCGUCGCGCUCCCCUGGACGCGCCCCGCGCUGGAGGCCGACGGGACGGCAGCCCUUGCAAGGGCCGAAGCUGGAGGGCGCGGCUCGGGAUGGCGACGAGGCGGAGGAGCUCGGGGCGGGGCGGCGGAGCACGGGACUGGAUGGGACGAUGGCGAGGCGGAGGAGAUUGGGGCGGGGCGCGUCUGUUUGGGGUCAAGGACGGCUCGUGCGCGGUGGGCGAGGAUUCUCCAAGCGGCUGUCCGCCCCCUGGACUUUUUGCUUUAUGAUAUCAGCGAUGGCAUACUUGAGAUUGAUUUGGGUGAGGAGAGCUUAGCUGUGAUCAGAGGGCCUCCCGUGACGAAUGAUUUCUGCCAUGGCAGCCCUCAUAUCAUCCAAGGUGAGGAUGGUGCUCUUGGCCUGGCCAUAUUGUAUUGCUCUCGCAUCCAAAUGUGGCAGAGGAGCUCCAAUUGUCAUGGUGUUGCUACAUGGGUCCUGUGGAAGACUGUUGAAAUGCAUAAUACUCUUGGGCUCCCUCCUCAGAUUGGGUCUAGGAGAAGGCGGAUGGAAAUUAUAGUGGGCUAUGCUGAGGCUGACAAUGUACUAUUUAUAUAUGUGGAUGCCAAUGUCUACAUGGUUUACCUCAAGUCAAUGCAAUCCAAGAGACUUUAUGAAGCCUGGCCUAUCUCUUCCUGCCAUCCUUGCACGAGUUUCUAUACACCAGGUGACAGGAGUAAUCCAAUCCAGUUGUAUGUAUUUGAUACAUGUGGACUACAGCAGUCAGCGGAGGAAUCUGGGCGGCACCGCGGCAGGAUCCCGAUGGUCGAAGCCAGGACUGGCCGGUGCAAAGGCCGUGGAGCAGGCGGCAGAAAGCGUGUAUUUAGCAACAAGGAGGUUGUGCUAUUUGCGCGUGGAGGGCCGGAGGCACAACCGCUCCUGGUGGAUCUGAUGAAGAAGGCUGAAAAUCCCCCACCCCAACAAAUUAACUUGUCAAAAGGGUUCAAGGAGGUCUUGAAUGCGGCUCCUCGACCCAUCGAAAGAGGCCGGGAGGACCCUAGCUGCCACCCUCCAGCGCCCUCUUCCCAUGGCCCCUCGUCACCGCCAUUUGGAGGCGUCGCCGGGCAAAGCGUGACUGGCGUCGGCGUUGGUGGGGAUCUCGUCCUCCUCACAUGGCAAGGCACGACACGGGACGUGGAAGCCAAUGAGGAUGCCAUGCUUGACAGGGCAUGGUAG
rnacentral:rRNA from 1 species